CAUGCAAGUCGAACGAGAAUCUGCUGAAGGAGGAUUCGUCCAACGGAUGUAGAGGAAAGUGGCGGACGGAUGAGUAACGCGUGAGGAACCUGCCUUGAAGAGGGGGACAACAGUUGGAAACGACUGCUAAUACCGCAUGAAGCAUAGGGGUCGCAUGAUCCUUAUGCCAAAGAUUUAUCGCUUCAAGAUGGCCUCGCGUCUGAUUAGCUGGUUGGCGGGGUAACGGCCCACCAAGGCGACGAUCAGUAGCCGGACUGAGAGGUUGAACGGCCACAUUGGGACUGAGAUACGGCCCAGACUCCUACGGGAGGCAGCAGUGGGGAAUAUUGGGCAAUGGGCGCAAGCCUGACCCAGCAACGCCGCGUGAAGGAAGAAGGCUUUCGGGUUGUAAACUUCUUUUAAGAGGGAAGAGCAGAAGACGGUACCUCUAGAAUAAGCCACGGCUAACUACGUGCCAGCAGCCGCGGUAAUACGUAGGUGGCAAGCGUUGUCCGGAUUUACUGGGUGUAAAGGGCGUGCAGCCGGGUCUGCAAGUCAGAUGUGAAAUCCAUGGGCUCAACCCAUGAACUGCAUUUGAAACUGUAGAUCUUGAGUGUCGGAGGGGCAAUCGGAAUUCCUAGUGUAGCGGUGAAAUGCGUAGAUAUUAGGAGGAACACCAGUGGCGAAGGCGGAUUGCUGGACGAUAACUGACGGUGAGGCGCGAAAGUGUGGGGAGCAAACAGGAUUAGAUACCCUGGUAGUCCACACUGUAAACGAUGAAUACUAGGUGUGCGGGGACUGACCCCCUGCGUGCCGCAGUAAACACAAUAAGUAUUCCACCUGGGGAGUACGAUCGCAAGGUUGAAACUCAAAGGAAUUGACGGGGGCCCGCACAAGCGGUGGAUUAUGUGGUUUAAUUCGAAGCAACGCGAAGAACCUUACCAGGGUUUGACAUC
rnacentral:rRNA from 1 species